rnacentral:rRNA from 1 species
UACGGGGGGGGCAAGCGUUGUUCGGAAUUACUGGGCGUAAAGGGCUCGUAGGCGGCCAACUAAGUCAGACGUGAAAUCCCUAGGCUCAACCUAGGAACUGCGUCUGAUACUGGAUGGCUUGAAUCCGGGAGAGGGAUGCAGAAUUCCAGGUGUAGCGGUGAAAUGCGUAGAUAUCUGGAGGAAUACCGGUGGCGAAGGCGGCAUCCUGGACCGGCAUUGACGCUGAGGCGCGAAAGCUAGGGGAGCAAACGGG